AGUGAACGCUGGCGGUAGGCCUAACACAUGCAAGUCGAACGGCAGCACAGUAAGAGCUUGCUCUUACGGGUGGCGAGUGGCGGACGGGUGAGGAAUACAUCGGAAUCUACUUUUUCGUGGGGGAUAACGUAGGGAAACUUACGCUAAUACCGCAUACGACCUACGGGUGAAAGCAGGGGAUCUUCGGACCUUGCGCGAUUGAAUGAGCCGAUGUCGGAUUAGCUAGUUGGCGGGGUAAAGGCCCACCAAGGCGACGAUCCGUAGCUGGUCUGAGAGGAUGAACAGGCACACUGGAACCGAGGCACGGUUCAAACUCCCACCGGGAGCCAGCGUUGGGAAUAUUGGACAAUGGGCGCAAGCCUGAUCCAGCCAUACCGCGUGGGUGAAGAAGGCCUUCGGGUUGUAAAGCCCUUUUGUUGGGAAAGAAAAGCAGCAGGUUAAUACCCCGCUGUUCUGACGGUACCCAAAGAAUAAGCGCCGGCUAACUUCGUG
rnacentral:rRNA from 1 species